rnacentral:rRNA from 1 species
UACGUAGGGGGCAAGCGUUGUCCGGAUUCACUGGGUGUAAAGGGUGCUCAGGCGGACUUGUAAGUCAGAGGUGAAACUCCGAAGCUUAACUUCGGAACUGCCUUUGAUACUGCAAGUCUCGAGUACGGGAGAGGGUAAUGGAAUAACAGGUGUAGCAGUGAAAUGCGUAGAUAUCUGUUAGAACACCAAUGGCGAAGGCAGUUGCCUGGCCCGUUACUGACGCUAAAGCACGAAAGUGUGGGUAGCAAACAGGAUUAGAAACCCCGGUAGU